rnacentral:rRNA from 1 species
GAGUUUGAUCCUGGCUCAGGAUGAACGCUGGCGGCGUGCUUAACACAUGCAAGUCGAACGAAGCGCCUUAUUUGAUUUUCUUCGGAACUGAAGAUUUGGUGACUGAGUGGCGGACGGGUGAGUAACGCGUGGGUAACCUGCCCUGUACAGGGGGAUAACAAUCAGAAAUGACUGCUAAUACCGCAUAAGACCACAGCACCGCAUGGUGCAGGGGUAAAAACUCCGGUGGUACAGGAUGGACCCGCGUCUGAUUAGCUGGUUGGUGAGGUAACGGCUCACCAAGGCGACGAUCAGUAGCCGGCUUGAGAGAGUGAACGGCCACAUUGGGACUGGGACACGGCCCAAACUCCUACGGGAGGCAGCAGUGGGGAAUAUUGCACAAUGGGGGAAACCCUGAUGCAGCAACGCCGCGUGAGUGAAGAAGUAUUUCGGUAUGUAAAGCUCUAUCAGCAGGGAAGAAAGUGACGGUACCUGACUAAGAAGCCCCGGCUAACUACGUGCCAGCCGCCGCUGUAAU